rnacentral:rRNA from 1 species
UAGGUUAACGAGGCGAACCGGGGGAACUGAAACAUCUAAGUACCCCGAGGAAAAGAAAUCAACCGAGAUUCCCCCAGUAGCGGCGAGCGAACGGGGAGCAGCCCGGAGUCUGAAUCAGCUUGUGUGUUAGUGGAAGCGUCUGGAAAGUCGCACGGUACAGGGUGACAGUCCCGUACACGAAAAUGCACAGGUUGUGAACUCGAAGAGUAGGGCGGGACACGUGGUAUCCUGUCUGAAUAUGGGGGGACCAUCCUCCAAGGCUAAAUACUCCUGACUGACCGAUAGUGAACCAGUACCGUGAGGGAAAGGCGAAAAGAACCCCGGCGAGGGGAGUGAAAAAGAACCUGAAACCGUGUACGUA